GACGAACGCUGGCGGCGUGCUUAACACAUGCAAGUCGAACGAUGAAACCUAGCUUGCUAGGUCGAUUAGUGGCGAACGGGUGAGUAACACGUGACUAACCUGCCCCUUUCUCUGGGAUAACGCUCCGAAAGGAGUGCUAAUACCGGAUACUCACAUCGAGGCACAUGCCUUGAUGUGGAAAGUUUUUCGGAAAGGGAUGGAGUCGCGGCCUAUCAGCUUGUUGGUGAGGUAACGGCUCACCAAGGCGACGACGGGUAGCCGGCCUGAGAGGGCGACCGGCCACACUGGGACUGAGACACGGCCCAGACUCCUACGGGAGGCAGCAGUCGGGAAUAUUGCACAAUGGGCGCAAGCCUGAUGCAGCGACGCCGCGUGAGGGAUGAAGGUCUUCGGAUUGUAAACCUCUUUCAGUAGGGACGAAGCGAAAGUGACGAUACCUAAAGAAGAAGCACCGGCUAACUACGUGCCAGCAGCCGCAGUAA
rnacentral:rRNA from 1 species